rnacentral:tRNA from 1 species
CAGAGAGUAGUUUAAAGUUAGAAUCCUAGCUUUGGGAGCUAGGGGUAGGGGUUAAAGUCCCCUUUCUCUGA